GGAUGUGAGGGCGAUCUGGCUGCGACAUCUGUCACCCCAUUCGUCGCCAGGGUUGAUGUGGCUGAUCUGGCUGGCUCAGCAGGCGUCCCCUUCUUCCCUCACCGCUCCAUGUGUACCUCUCCUGAAGCUGGGCACUCAUUUGAAGAGGAUGAUCAUCCCUGAUAGAGGAGGGCCAGCCUUCAUUCAAGGGUAUACGAGUAGCUGCACUCCCCUGCUAGAACCUCCGAACAAGCUCUCAAGGUCCAGAGACGUGAUGUGAACUCCAGGUCUUAGUUGAUGAUCACGUGGUUGUGCAGUGGUGCAGACUGUGUCUUUGA
rnacentral:snRNA from 1 species